CCUACGGGUGGCAGCAGUGGGGAAUAUUGCGCAAUGGGCGAAAGCCUGACGCAGCGACGCCGCGUGAGGGAUGAAGGUCUUCGGAUCGGAAACCUCUGUCAGCAGGGAAGAACGGUCACUGGGCUAAUCAGCAGUGAAUUGACGGUACCUGCAAAGGAAGCACCGGCGAACUCCGGGCCAGCAGCCGCGGUAAUACGGAGGGGGCGAGCGUUAAGCGGAAUGACUGGGCGGAAAGCGCUCGUAGGCGGUAUGUCAAGUCACGGGUGAAAUCCCCGCGCGCAACGUUGGAACUGCCUUGGAAACUGGCAACCUGGAGUGUGUGAGAGGAUAGUGGAAUUCCUGGUGUCGGCGU
rnacentral:rRNA from 1 species